rnacentral:rRNA from 1 species
AUUGAACGCUGGCGGCAUGCCUUACACAUGCAAGUCGAACGGCAGCACGGGAGCAAUCCUGGUGGCGAGUAGCGAACGGGUGAGUAAUAUAUCGGAACGUGCCCAGUCGUGGGGGAUAACGCAGCGAAAGCUGUGCUAAUACCGCAUACGAUCUACGGAUGAAAGCGGGGGAUCGCAAGACCUCGCGCGAUUGGAGCGGCCGAUAUCAGAUUAGCUAGUUGGUGGGGUAAAAGCCCACCAAGGCGACGAUCUGUAGCUGGUCUGAGAGGACGACCAGCCACACUGGAACUGAGACACGGUCCAGACGCCUACGGGAGGCAGCAGUGGGGAAUUUUGGACAAUGGGCGCAAGCCUGAUCCAGCAAUGCCGCGUGCAGGAUGAAGGCCUUCGGGUUGUAAACUGCUUUUGUACGGAACGAAACGGCUCUUUCUAAUAAAGAGGGCUAAUGACGGUACCGUAAGAAUAAGCACCGGCUAACUACGUGCCAGCAGCCGCGGUAA